UGGGGAUUAGUGUAAUGGUAGCACGACGGUUUCUGGUUCCGUUAGUAGAAGUUCGAGUCUUCUAUCCCCAG
rnacentral:tRNA from 1 species